GCUAAGUCCCUUCUUUCUAUCCUAGUAUAACUUGAAGAAUUCAAAUAGUCAUGCUAGAACAGAAAGAAUGGGAGUUGGC
ensembl:miRNA